UUGAAUCGUCUCAUCCAAAUGAUUAGGGGCAAGAUGUGCAUCCUCCUGCAGUUAAUUUAGAGACUGCUUGUUUGCUUUCCACACUCAGGGCUCAACCAGCUGUGCUGAAAUUUGGUUAUUUCCAUCUGCGGCCUAUGGAACUGAAGAAUGAAUUUCAAACUCAACUUCAACAUGCUUUCACCUUUACUUCUGCUUCAGGAAAUGGUCAUUAAAAUUGCUAAUCGUACCUGGACUAUACCAAUCCAAGACCGCGAGCUUAGUGCCAAGCCAUUUAACAAGUUCGUUGCUACCCUUGAUCUGGAACCUUUUGAUUACUUACUGAUUACCAUGCUACCGACAACACAAUUUAUAGUCAUUGUCUUCCAUGCACACAAUGACAGUGAAAGGCUUUAUCCAUGGUUUUAGUCAAGUUCUACGGUGCUUCCUUAGCAAUGUGUUAUGUCAUUUGUGGCAACAUAGAUAUUUUGCCCCAACUUUUCUCCAGCCUUUAGCGCACACCUC